AGUGAACGCUGGCGGUAGGCCUAACACAUGCAAGUCGAACGGCAGCACAGGAGAGCUUGCUCUCUGGGUGGCGAGUGGCGGACGGGUGAGGAAUACAUCGGAAUCUACCUUUUCGUGGGGGAUAACGUAGGGAAACUUACGCUAAUACCGCAUACGACCUACGGGUGAAAGUGGGGGACCGCAAGGCCUCACGCGAUUAGAUGAGCCGAUGUCCGAUUAGCUAGUUGGCGGGGUAAUGGCCCACCAAGGCGACGAUCGGUAGCUGGUCUGAGAGGAUGAUCAGCCACACUGGAACUGAGACACGGUCCAGACUCCUACGGGAGGCAGCAGUGGGGAAUAUUGGACAAUGGGCGCAAGCCUGAUCCAGCCAUACCGCGUGGGUGAAGAAGGCCUUCGGGUUGUAAAGCCCUUUUGUUGGGAAAGAAAUCCUAUCGGUUAAUAACCGGUGGGGAUGACGGUACCCAAAGAAUAAGCACCGGCUAACUUCGUGCCAGCCGCCGCCGUAACAC
rnacentral:rRNA from 1 species